GACCCUUUAACAAAUAUAUAAAAAAUUGAAAAAAUUUUAACCAAGCGUUUUAUCAGAAAAAUUACACUGGUUAUAUAGCAGUUUGACAAACACUAAUUUUGAUCAUUGAGAAGCUUUAUAUUGCCUUCACAACGCAACGUAAUUAAAACGUUUAGCUGAUAUUACAGAGUUAUCUCCCUGUAGUGUUAGGUACCACCUUAAC
rnacentral:lncRNA from 1 species